rnacentral:miRNA from 1 species
UUAGCUGGUCUGACCUUCCUCGCCU